rnacentral:RNase_P_RNA from 1 species
ACAGCCUAUUGAGUGAUCGCUAGUCUCACUAAGGAGGCUAGAGGAAAGUCCGGGCAGCAUAGGACGCGACAGCCGCUAACGGCGGCCGGGGGUAACCCUAGGGAAAGUGCCACAGAAACUAAACCGCCGUCUCAAGCUCAUUUGGGCGACUGACGGUAAGGGUGAAAUGAGUGAGGUAAGAGCUCACAGCGACGUGCGGUAACGUGCGGAGGAGGUAAACCCUGUCGGCUGCAAGGGAUCGGCACAUGAUAGUAGUCCGCUCGUGUCGAUCAGUAUCCGCUUGAGCAUAGUGGCAACACUAUGCCUAGAUAGAUGAUCACUUUCAACAGAACCCGGCUUAUAGAUUGGCUGUCAAA